GAACGACUCUCGGCAACGGAUAUCUUGGCUCUCGCAUCGAUGAAGAACGUAGCGAAAUGCGAUACUUGGUGUGAAUUGCAGAAUCCCGUGAACCAUCGAGUUUUUGAACGCAAGUUGCGCCCGAAGCCUUUGGCCAGGGCACGUCUGCCUGGGCGUCACGC
rnacentral:rRNA from 1 species